GUUUUGGAAGGUUCCGGAAGAAAUACAUAAUAUAGAACAAACAUUCCUCUCCCCGAUAUAUAGACCAAGGAACCACGUUGGCUCCAUUUAUGGCAUUCGGUCCAACUUUCGACAACGUUUGGCAACAUAACGGGGCCAGAACAGAGCAAACUGACGCCUCACAAGUCCUCAACUGGCAAAACACCAGUCUCAACGUCAACAGUGAAGAGGUGACUCGGGGAUGCUGGCCUUCUAGGCAGGCCGGUGGUGGCUGGCCCGCUCCAGGAGUCUGAAGUGCGGGAGGUUCCUCCGCCCCCUUUGGACAUCGAGGGGCCCCGGCGUACUCCGUUCGCUCCAUACUGGAUUCGAGGGAUCGGGCGAGGGUCCUUCAGUACCUCGUGGACUGGGAGGGGUAGGGUCUGGAGGAGAGAUGCUGGGUUCCCGGUGGAGGACGUUUUGGACCCUUCUAUGCUGUGGGAGUUCCACCAUCUUCGUCCGGAUCGCCCUGCACCUCGCCCCCCGGGUCGUCCCCGGGGCCGGUGUCGGCGCGGUCAGGGGGGGGAAGUUUCAAACCUAGGUUUGUUUGUUUUGUUUAAUCUGCUUCAUGUUACUGUGGUUGUGCUUUGUGCUGCCUCGCCUGUGCCUUUGGGCCAGGGUGUAUAUUGAAGUUCUCCUGUUAUCACCCAUUUCUGCUCUCCUGCACCUGACUUCCCGGCAACCAGUUACUCACCCCGUUACACAUAUUGGAUUUCUAUUUGCCAUAUAUUUUAAAGCUGUGAUGCUUCACAAAAGUACUGAACCUUUCUAUUCUCAUAGUUUCUACAGAUUGUAAAAUAAUUUAUAUUAUUGAUCGAUUGACUAUGACUUUUCAAAUCACCCAGUAUUGAUAUCUGCAGCGUUAGCUCCAGGUAAAUGUUGCGAUUCUUCAGCCUUCCCUGGACCUGUGAACAAAAAUGAGCUACAUAUGGACAGUACCAAAAUAAAUGAUCUAAUGACUCUGCCUCCUCGCAGCAAAAUCUUCAGAGCUGGGAAGAUUGUAUCCCCCAUAUAUAUAACAUUCUAUUAGUUUCAAUAAUUUUGUAUAAUAAUUUCAAUUGAAAAAUUAUGUUUUGAAUCUGGUGUCAUUUUGUGUGUCAAUUCAUAAACCACGUGCCAUGGAAUCGGUACAUCAGAAAUAUCUUCCUGCCCCUUUGUACUGGUAGUUUGGCCCACUCCUCUUGUGCAAACUGCUCCAGUUCUCCCAGAAUAGAAGGGGUCCUUCUCCCAACUGCUGUUUUCAGAUUUCUCCAAGUUUUAAAUGGGAUUUAGAUCUGGACUCAUUGCUGGCCACUUCAGAACAGUCCAGUGUUUUGUC